AUUGAACGCUGGCGGAAUGCUUUACACAUGCAAGUCGAACGGCAGCACGGACUUCGGUCUGGUGGCGAGUGGCGAACGGGUGAGUAAUGUAUCGGAACGUGCCCAGUCGUGGGGGAUAACGUAGUGAAAAUUACGCUAAUACCGCAUACGAUCUAUGGAUGAAAGCGGGGGAUCGCAAGACCUCGCGCGAUUGGAGCGGCCGAUAUCAGAUUAGGUAGUUGGUGGGGUAAAGGCCCACCAAGCCAACGAUCUGUAGCUGGUCUGAGAGGACGACCAGCCACACUGGAACUGAGACACGGUCCAGACUGCUACGGGAGGCAGCAGUGGGGAAUUUUGGACAAUGGGCGAAAGCCUGAUCCGGCCAUUCCGCGUGCAGGAUGAAGGCCCUCGGGUUGUAAACUGCUUUUGUACAGAACGAAAAGGUUUCUACUAAUAUUAGGAGCUCAUGACGGUACUGUAAGAAUAAGCACCGGCUAACUACGUGCCAGCCGCCGCCGUAA
rnacentral:rRNA from 1 species